AAGGACCUCUGCAUGUUCUGAGGAUAAAGUUAGCCCUACAUUUCAAGUUAAGGCUAUCCAGGAAGAAUGUCUUUGGCAAUCUCUUUCAGCUUCCGUCUUCUGGCAUGUGUAUAGCAUGUAGGUACUUAACAAAGGUAAAAAAUUUAUAUGGCGCUAGGUGGCUAGAGAAGCUUCAUUCGCUCCAUGGUUUGGAAUUUUAGAGGAAGCAUUUCUUUUUCCCUGAGUGUUUUUUAUUCUGUCAUUCCAGCGGCUUCAUAUACAGAUAGCUCUGAUGAUGAGACAUCACCCAGGGACAAGCAGCAAAAGAACUCUAAGGGAAGCAGUGACUUCUGUGUUAAGAACAUCAAACAGGCAGAGUUUGGACGAAGAGAAAUUGAAAUUGCUGAACAAGAAAUGCCUGCAUUGAUGGCUUUGAGGAAGAGAGCUCAAGGAGAAAAGCCUUUGGCUGGAGCCAAAAUCGUGGGUUGCACACACAUCACUGCUCAGACUGCUGUGCUUAUGGAGACUCUGGGUGCUCUGGGGGCCCAGUGCCGAUGGGCUGCCUGCAACAUCUAUUCCACUCUCAAUGAAGUGGCUGCUGCUCUAGCAGAAAGUGGAUUUCCUGUUUUUGCCUGGAAGGGAGAGUCAGAAGAUGACUUUUGGUGGUGUAUUGAUAGAUGUGUGAAUG
rnacentral:sRNA from 1 species